GUGGCAAUCCAAAACUGAUGGUCAUUGGUAGGAACCAUGGGGACGUCCAUGGGGGCUUUCAUCCUGCUCUUGUGGCUGUCGCUGCACUGGCUCAGCCGAGGAGAGAAGGUGGAGCAGCAUCAUUCCACGCUGAGUGUCCAGGAGGGAAGAAGCUCUGUUAUCUCCUGUACUUACUCAGACAGUACCUCAGACUACUUCCCUUGGUAUAAGCAAGAAGUUGGGAAAGGUCCUCAGCUCAUUAUAGCCAUUCGUUCAAAUGCGGCCAAGAAAGAAGACCAAAGACUCACUGUUUUAUUGAAUAAG